UACGAAGGGGGCUAGCGUUGCUCGGAAUGACUGGGCGUAAAGGGCGCGUAGGCGGUUCGUACAGUCAGACGUGAAAUUCCCGGGCUCAACCUGGGGGCUGCGUUUGAUACGUGCGGGCUUGAGUUCGGAAGAGGGUCGUGGAAUUCCCAGUGUAGAGGUGAAAUUCGUAGAUAUUGGGAAGAACACCGGUGGCGAAGGCGACUUACUGGACACAUAUUGACGCUGAGGUGCGAAAGCGUGGGGAGCAAACAGG
rnacentral:rRNA from 1 species